rnacentral:rRNA from 1 species
CCUACGGGUGGCAGCAGUGAGGAAUCUUGGUCAAUGGGCGCGAGUCUGAACCAGCCAAGUAGCGUGAAGGAUGACUGCCCUACGGGUUGUAAACUUCUUUUAUAAAGGAAUAAAGUGAGGCACGUGUGUCUUUUUGUAUGUACUUUAUGAAUAAGGAUCGGCUAACUCCGUGCCAGCAGCCGCGGUAAUACGGAGGGUGCGAGCGUUAUCCGGAUUUAUUGGGUUUAAAGGGAGCGUAGAUGGGUUGUUAAGUCAGUUGUGAAAGUAUGCGGCUCAACCGGAGAAUUGCAGUUGAAACUGGCAGACUUGAGUACAGUAGAGGUGAGCGGAACUCGUUGUGUAGCGGUGAAAUGCGUAGAUAUAACGAAGAACUCCGAUGGCGAAGGCAGCUUACUGGACUGCAACUGACACUGAGGCUCGAAAGUGUGGGUAGCGAACAGGAUUAGAUACCCUAGUAGUC